rnacentral:rRNA from 1 species
GACGAACGCUGGCGGCGUGCUUAACACAUGCAAGUCGAACGGAAAGGCCCUGCUUUUGUGGGGUGCUCGAGUGGCGAACGGGUGAGCAACACGUGAGUAACCUGCCCUUGACUUUGGGAUAACUUCAGGAAACUGGGGCUAAUACCGGCUAGGAGCUCCUGCUGCAUGGUGGGGGUUGGAAAGUUUCGGCGGUUGGGGAUGGACUCGCGGCUUAUCAGCUUGUUGGUGGGGUAGUGGCUUACCAAGGCUUUGACGGGUAGCCGGCCUGAGAGGGUGACCGGCCACAUUGGGACUGAGAUACGGCCCAGACUCCUACGGGAGGCAGCAGUGGGGAAUAUUGCACAAUGGGCGGAAGCCUGAUGCAGCAACGCCGCGUGCGGGAUGACGGCCUUCGGGUUGUAAACCGCUUUCGCCUGUGACGAAGCGUGAGUGACGGUAAUGGGUAAAGAAGCACCGGCUAACUACGUG